UGGCGGACGGGUGAGUAAUACGUGGGUGACCUACCCUUAAGUUGGGGAUAUCUUACUUAAUAGUUUGGUAAUCCCGAAUAGUAUAGCGGCGAGAAAUCGCUGUUAUGAAAGGUGGCUCCGCAAGGAGCUGUCGCUUAUGGAUGGGCCCGCGCUCUAUUAGCUAGUUGGUAGGGUAAUGGCCUACCAAGGCUACGAUGGAUAGCCGGCCUGAGAGGGCGAUCGGCCACACUGGGAUUGAGAUACGGCCCAGACUCCUACGGGAGGCAGCAGUCGGGAAUUUUGGACAAUACCCGCAAGGGUGAUCCAGCGAUACCACGUGAGUGAUGAAGUUCUUUGGAAUGUAAAACUCUGUCAGGGGAUGAGAAAAGGAUACGGUGAACAGCCGGAUCCGUUGACUAUCCCCAGAGGAAGCUCCGGCCAACUCCGUGCCAGCAGCCGCGGUAAUACGGGGGGAGCGAGCGUUGCCCGGAAUCACUGGGCGUAAAGGGUGUGUAGGCGGAUUUGUAAGUCAAGCGUGAAAUUUUCCGGCUUAACCGGAAAACUGCGCUUGAAACUGCAUUUCUUGAGUAUGAGAGAGGAGCAUGGAAUUCCAGGUGUAGCGGUGAAAUGCGUAGAUAUCUGGAAGAACACCGGUUGCGAAGGCUAUUCUCUAUCUCAAUACUGACGCUGUGACACGAAAGCCAGGGGAGCAAACAGGAUUAGAUACCCUGGUAGUCCUGGCCGUAAACGAUGGAUACUAGGUGUUGGAAGAUUCAACCCUUUCAGUGCCGAAGCUAACGCAUUAAGUAUCCCGCCUGGGGAGUACGAUCGCAAGAUUGAAACUCAAAGGAAUUGACGGGGGCCUGCACAAGCGGUGGAGCAUGUGGUUCAAUUCG
rnacentral:rRNA from 1 species